ensembl:lncRNA
GAAGGGCCGGUGGUCUUCUGCAAUGAGCUGUUUCUCAGUCACAAGUCUCAAAGCAUGCGGGAGUUUCUGGAGAGUGCGGUUCACCUGCAGUGUUUCAAAGAGUUUAUUGAUGGCCGGCUGAAAAUGCUUGACCAGGGCAAAGAGCCGGAUGACGUGUUUGAGGAAGAGGUGCUUCAGUGUGGUGCUUCAUCUGGUGCGUGUUUACGUUCGUAACAAAAUCAGACUUGUUUGUUAGUUUGAUCAUUUUAACACCCCUUCUGUUCGUGAUUCCUCUCAGGUGGCUCUAAACUGCGAAGGCAAUGGGUGGGAAAUUUAAAGGUACGUUUUACUCGUACAGGAAAUAUAUCUCUAGAAGACAACCAUUGCAGUAUGCAUACAGUGCACACUAUUUUCAGUAUACAAACAUUACAUACACUUUCUAGUACAGUAAUGUUCAGUUUACAGCAGAGCAUGCUUGACCCUCCAUUUCCAGUCAGACAAAUAAACUAGAAUGAACACCAAAAAGUUUUUUUUUUUCUUUAUUACUCAUGAUUGACUUCCAUUUUUUUUUUUUUUUUUUUUUUUUUUUUUUUUUUUUUUUUUUUUAAAAAAUUUUUUUUUUUUUUUUUACAAAAAGGGGGGGGGUAUUUUUUUUUUAUUUAGGAGAUAAAAGAANNNNNNNNNNNNNNNNNNNNNNNNNNNNNNNNNNNNNNNNNNNNNNNNNNNNNNNNNNNNNNNNNNNNNNNNNNNNNNNNNNNNNNNNNNNNNNNNNNNNNNNNNNNNNNNNNNNNNNNNNNAAAAAAAAAAAAAAAAAAAAAUCUAAUCUUUGUUUAACAUAAAUCGUAUGUUUAACAAUCGUAUUAAUUUGUAAUGUGCUGUUGUGCAUUAUUAAACAUAACAUGAAUACGUUCUUGCAUGACAUAAUUCUCUUUAUAUCUCAGACCAAAUACCACAGCAAAUUUGGGCUGAAAAACCUCCUGUCAUCAAAAGACCAAAGUGAAGCUCAUAUGCUACAGAGGGGCGGGUCUGUGUGUGAACCGCACACGUAUCGCCUCCUCCAAUCAGACUGCCUUCAGAAUCGUCUACCAAUCACACAGCACUUUGGCAGGUCUCGACCACGCCGGCCGACACGCAAGCAUCCCAGCCACCAGGGCAAUGAACAACAGACAGAGGAUGACAACACCACCUAUGAGGACAGUGUAACAGAAAGUCCUGAGCAGUGCUCUGGCACCAGCGACUUACAGGAAGAGGAUGAUCUCUCUCUUUUGGCUGACCCAGAGGAGAUGGACCUGCUCGGUGAGAUCUUCGACACACUGAGUUCCCAGAGCUCCAGAGAGCCAGGUUUACUGUACGGCACACGCAGCCUCGACCUCUUCAGUUCCGACAGCAGUGAAUUCAUCUCACAUAAAAGUCUGACCAACCCAAGUCAGGAGAGUCUAAGUCCCUCUUUUGGAAACAGCGGAAGUCUUGUGAGCUGGGGGGAGGAGCUAGAGGAGGGGCCUGGUGAUGAGGGGGAGGAGCCUGAUGUCCUGAUUGACAGGCCAGAAAAUGAGCUUAAUGAAUUAGAGAAGGACUUGACUGAGUUAGGGGAAAAUCUGUGUUCAGAUCUACAAAUUCUAGAAGAUGCUUCUCUGGAUCCCGAAGUGGGUUCUCAGGAGCAGCAAAAGGACAGCUGGCUGAUAAAUGAUGGACAAAUGAACGGAACAAUGGAGGAAAGCUUGGAAACCGAGACCGUAGGUACAGAGAGGACAGGGAUGCAACCUGACAAAGAUGAACUUCUGAAAGAGCAUAAGACGACAAAUGACUUAGGCUCAAACGAACCAACAAAUGAAGGAAUUACCGCCACUUUUUCUCACAGUGUAAAGAUAGACAAAAGAGAAGAGCCAGAUAAGAAGAGAAUUGAACCUCUAUCACCAAAUAUUUUGUCUACCGUAGCUCUGUUUCAGUCCUCGGCUGACUCUUCUGGUUCCCGAGAGUGGGAUAAAUCUCUAAAAACUCCCAUCAGGACCCACAAAAUCAAUGCGGGAUCAAUGACGGCCCUGCAGACUGGAGAACAAAUCAUGAAAUCACCCGUUUCAUCAACACCAGAAGAACAAACCCAGGCUCCCGUUAAGGUCUCAGAGCUGAAGAAGAGAUUCGAACAUUAGAUCAUCACAAAUCAAGCAUACUGAAGCGAAAUUAUACUGAAGGACUGAAAAUGACUUUUUUAGAAUGUCAAUUACAAGCCUACAUGAAACAACACUUGCACCCUAUUUUGAUUCUUGUGAGGCAACAUUGCAGAGUCAAGUUCGAUAGGUGUUCCAUACUGAACUUUGAGAUUGUGGAAGGUUAUUUGUCUCAUGCACCUGUUUGUUAAAACUUAACACUGACAUCAGUCAAUAUCGAUUCAGUUUGGUGAAGGAUUGCUUUUCCCUUUGGAAUAAUGUACACUGAACGUGCAUUAAAGUAAUCAGGUCGAUUUUAACUUUCAUUGUAGCUAAAUGCAGUAUGUUAUCAAAAUAAACUGAUAAAUGCACCAAUUCUGACCA